ensembl:misc_RNA 7SK 7SK RNA
GGAUGUGAGGGUGACCUGGCUGUGACAUUUGUCUCUGCAUUAAUUGCCAGGGUUGAUUUGGCUGAUCUGGCUGGCUAGACGGGUGUCCCCUUCCUCCUUCAUCACUCCAUGUGUGUCUCUCCCAAAGCUGCGUUCUCGUUCUCGGUAGAAGAGGAUGGCCUUCCCUGAACAGAGACAGACCUGUUUUCGGUGGAGGGGAAACAAGUAGCUGUACUCCCCUGCUUCUUCUUCUAGCGUUUGCCCUUCUUCCGCAGCCAGUCAACAGCGUCAGGUUGAGCCUGAUGUAAAGUUUCGAGACCUCCUUUGAAUCUGGAGAGGUGGCAGUCGUUGACUAUG